rnacentral:rRNA from 1 species
AGUGAACGCUGGCGGUAGGCCUAACACAUGCAAGUCGAACGGCAGCACAGUAAGAGCUUGCUCUUACGGGUGGCGAGUGGCGGACGGGUGAGGAAUACAUCCGAAUCUACUUUUUCGUGGGGGUUAACGUAGGGAAACUUACGCUCAUACCGCAUACGCCCUACGGGUGAAAGCAGGGGAUCUUCGGACCUUGCGCGAUUGAAUGAGCCGAUGUCGGAUUAGCUAGUUGGCGGGGUAAAGGCCCACGCAGGCGACGAUCCGUAGCCGGUCAGGGAGGAUGGUCAGCCACACUGGAACUGAGACACGGACCAGACUACUACGGGAGGCAGCAGUGGGGAAUAUUGGGCAAUGGGCGCAAGCCUGAUCCAGCCAUACCGCGUGGGUGAAGAAGGCCUUCGGGUUGUAAAGCCCUUUUGUUGGGAAAGAAAAGCAGCAGGUUAAUACCCCGCUGUUCUGACGGUACCCAAAGAAUAAGCACCGGCUAACUUCGUG